rnacentral:rRNA from 1 species
GAUGAACGCUAGCGGCAGGCUUAACACAUGCAAGUCGAGGGGUAGAAGUUGCUUGCAACUUUGAGACCGGCGCACGGGUGCGUAACGCGUAUGCAAUCUACCUUAUACAGAGGGAUAGCCCAGAGAAAUUUGGAUUAAUACCUCACAGUAUAAUUGAAUGGCAUCAUUUAAUUAUUAAAGUUCCAACGGUAUAAGAUGAGCAUGCGUCCUAUUAGCUAGAUGGUAAGGUAACGGCUUACCAUGGCAACGAUAGGUAGGGGUCCUGAGAGGGAGAUCCCCCACACUGGUACUGAGACACGGACCAGACUCCUACGGGAGGCAGCAGUGAGGAAUAUUGGACAAUGGGCGCAAGCCUGAUCCAGCCAUGCCGCGUGCAGGAAGAAGCAUCUAUGGUGUGUAAACUGCUUUUGUACGGGAAGAAACACUCCUUCGUGAAGGAGCUUGACGGUACCGUAAGAAUAAGGAUCGGCUAACUCCGUGCCAGCCGCCGCAGUAAGAC